rnacentral:rRNA from 1 species
AGAGUUUGAUCAUGGCUCAGAUUGAACGCUGGCGGUAUGCUUAACACAUGCAAGUCGAACGGAAACGACAAGAGCUUGCUCUUGGGCGUCGAGUGGCGGACGGGUGAGUAACGCGUAGGAAUCUGCCUAGUAGUGGGGGAUAGCCCAAGGAAACUUGGAUUAAUACCGCAUAAUAUCUAUGGAUUAAAGUGGAGGAUCUUCGGACUUCACGCUACUAGAUGAGCCUGCGUAAGAUUAGUUAGUUGGUGAGGUAAAAGCUCACCAAGGCGACGAUCUUUAGCUGGUCUGAGAGGAUGAUCAGCCACACUGGGACUGAGACACGGCCCAGACUCCUACGGGAGGCAGCAGUGGGGAAUAUUGGACAAUGGGGGCAACCCUGAUCCAGCAAUACCGCGUGUGUGAAGAAGGCCUGAGGGUUGUAAAGCACUUUCAAUUGUGAAGAAAAGUUAAGGAUUAAU